rnacentral:rRNA from 1 species
UAAUACGGAGGGUGCAAGCGUUGUCCGGAUUUAUUGGGUUUAAAGGGUGCGUAGGUGGUUUGGUAAGUCUGGUUUGAAAGCAGGUCGCUCAACGAUCUGAUGUGGCUGGAAACUGCCGAACUUGAAUGUGUUGGCGGAAGCCGGAACGGGUCAUGUAGCGGUGAAAUGCAUAGAUAUGACCCAGAACCCCGAUUGCGAAGGCAGGCUUCCAGGACAUGAUUGACACUGAGGCACGAGAGCAUGGGGAGCCAACAGGAUUAGAUACCCUGGUAGUCCAUGCCGUAAACGAUGAUUACUGGCUGUUUGGGUUGUAAGACUUGAGUGGCUGAGCGAAAGCGUUAAGUAAUCCACCUGGGGAGUACGCCGGCAACGGUG